rnacentral:piRNA from 1 species
UGAUUGAGGGCUAUUGUGGAAAGUCUCCGC